UACGUAGGGGGCAAGCGUUGUCCGGAAUCAUUGGGCGUAAAGCGCGCGUAGGCGGCCCGGUAAGUCCGUUGUGAAAGUCAAAGGCUCAACCUUUGAACGCCGAUGGAUACUGCCGGGCUAGAGUCCGGAAGAGGCGAGUGGAAUUCCUGGUGUAGCGGUGGAAUGCGCAGAUAUCAGGAGGAACACCGAUGGCGAAGGCAGUUCUCUGGGCCGUAACUGACGCUGAGGAGCGAAAGCGUGGGGAGCAAACGGG
rnacentral:rRNA from 1 species